AGAGUUUGAUCCUGGCUCAGGACGAACGCUGGCGGCGUGCUUAACACAUGCAAGUCGAACGAGGCAGCGGCCUUCGGGCCGUUGUCGAGUGGCGAACGGGUGAGUAACACGUGAGGAACCUGCCCCGGAGACCGGGACAACCAGGGGAAACCCUGGCUAAUACCGGAUAUCCCCGGAUGGCCGCAUGGCCGACCGAGGAAAUGCUCAGGUGCUCCGGGAGGGCCUCGCGGCCUAUCAGCUUGUUGGUGGGGUAACGGCCUACCAAGGCAUUGACGGGUAGCUGGUCUGAGAGGACGAUCAGCCACACUGGGACUGAGACACGGCCCAGACUCCUACGGGAGGCAGCAGUGGGGAAUAUUGCGCAAUGGGCGAAAGCCUGACGCAGCAACGCCGCGUGGGGGAUGACGGCCUUC
rnacentral:rRNA from 1 species